rnacentral:rRNA from 1 species
UGGUGGAUCAGUGGCGAACGGGUGAGUAACACGUGAGCAACCUGCCCUGAACUCUGGGAUAAGCGCUGGAAACGGCGUCUAAUACUGGAUAUGAGCUGCGGAGGCAUCUUCGUGGUUGGAAAGAUUUUUCGGUUUGGGAUGGGCUCGCGGCCUAUCAGCUUGUUGGUGAGGUAAUGGCUCACCAAGGCGUCGACGGGUAGCCGGCCUGAGAGGGUGACCGGCCACACUGGGACUGAGACACGGCCCAGACUCCUACGGGAGGCAGCAGUGGGGAAUAUUGCACAAUGGGCGGAAGCCUGAUGCAGCAACGCCGCGUGAGGGAUGACGGCCUUCGGGUUGUAAACCUCUUUUAGCAGGGAAGAAGCGAAAGUGACGGUACCUGCAGAAAAAGCGCCGGCUAACUACGUGCCAGCAGCCGCGGUAAUACGUAGGGCGCAAGCGUUAUCCGGAAUUAUUGGGCGUAAAGAGCUCGUAGGCGGUUUGUCGCGUCUGCUGUGAAAUCUGGGGGCUCAACCCCCAGCCUGCAGUGGGUACGGGCAGACUAGAGUGCGGUAGGGGAGAUUGGAAUUCCUGGUGUAGCGGUGGAAUGCGCAGAUAUCAGGAGGAACACCGAUGGCGAAGGCAGAUCUCUGGGCCGUAACUGACGCUGAGGAGCGAAAGGGUGGGGAGCAAACAGGCUUAGAUACCCUGGUAGUCCACCCCGUAAACGUUGGGAACUAGUUGUGGGGUCCAUUCCACGGAUUCCGUGACGCAGCUAACGCAUUAAGUUCCCCGCCUGGGGAGUACGGCCGCAAGGCUAAAACUCAAAGGAAUUGACGGGGACCCGCACAAGCGGCGGAGCAUGCGGAUUAAUUCGAUGCAACGCGAAGAACCUUACCAAGGCUUGACAUACACGAGAACGCUGCAGAAAUGUAGAACUCUUUGGACACUCGUGAACAGGUGGUGCAUGGUUGUCGUCAGCUCGUGUCGUGAGAUGUUGGGUUAAGUCCCGCAACGAGCGCAACCCUCGUUCUAUGUUGCCAGCACGUAAUGGUGGGAACUCAUGGGAUACUGCCGGGGUCAACUCGGAGGAAGGUGGGGAUGACGUCAAAUCAUCAUGCCCCUUAUGUCUUGGGCUUCACGCAUGCUACAAUGGCCGGUACAAAGGGCUGCAAUACCGCGAGGUGGAGCGAAUCCCAAAAAGCCGGUCCCAGUUCGGAUUGAGGUCUGCAACUCGACCUCAUGAAGUCGGAGUCGCUAGUAAUCGCAGAUCAGCAACGCUGCGGUGAAUACGUUCCCGGGUCUUGUACACACCGCCCGUCAAGUCAUGAAAGUCGGUAACACCUGAAGCCGGUGGCCCAACCC